AACGAACGCUGGCGGCAGGCUUAACACAUGCAAGUCGAACGCCCCGCAAGGGGAGUGGCAGACGGGUGAGUAACGCGUGGGAAUCUACCUAGUUCUACGGAACAACAGAGGGAAACUUCUGCUAAUACCGUAUACGCCCUAUGGGGGAAAGAUUUAUCGGAAUUAGAUGAGCCCGCGUAAGAUUAGCUAGUUGGUGAGGUAAUGGCUCACCAAGGCGACGAUCUUUAGCUGGUCUGAGAGGAUGAUCAGCCACACUGGGACUGAGACACGGCCCAGACUCCUACGGGAGGCAGCAGUGGGGAAUAUUGGACAAUGGGCGCAAGCUUGAUCCGGCCAUGCCGCGUGAGUGAUGAAGGCCUUAGGGUUGUAAAGCUCUUUCAGUGGGGAAGAUAAUGACGGUACCCACAGAAGAAGCCCCGGCUAACUUCGUGCCAGCCGCCGCAGUAAGAC
rnacentral:rRNA from 1 species